rnacentral:rRNA from 1 species
UACGGAGGGGGCUAGCGUUGUUCGGAAUUACUGGGCGUAAAGCGCACGUAGGCGGCUUUGUAAGUUAGAGGUGAAAAGCCCCAGGGCUCAACCCUGGAAUUGCCUUUAAGACUGCAUCGCUUGAACAUCGGAGAGGUAAGUGGAAUUCCGAGUGUAGAGGUGAAAUUCGUAGAUAUUCGGAAGAACACCAGUGGCGAAGGCGACUUACUGGACGAUUUGUUGACGCUGAGGUGCGAAAGCGUGGGGGAGCAAAACCAGG